rnacentral:tRNA from 1 species
GGAGAGAUGGCCGAGUGGCUUAAGGCAGCGGUCUUGAAAACCGCCGAAGGGUAAAACCUUCCGUGGGUUCGAAUCCCACUCUCUCCGCCA